rnacentral:piRNA from 1 species
UCAAAUGAUGCAAUUGCCAUAGCAACGGUGU